GAUGCUUUGGCCGAGUGGUUAAGGCGGCGGCCUGCUAAGCCGUUGGGAUUUCCCGCGUGAGUUCGAGUCUCACAGGCAUCG
rfam:Paramecium tetraurelia chromosome undetermined scaffold_37, whole genome shotgun sequence.